rnacentral:tRNA from 2 species
CAGAGUGUAGCUUAACCUAAAGCACUUGGCUUACACCCAAGAGAUUUCAUUCUAUGACCACUCUGA